GUCAGCAUCACUCAAGCACAUUUUGCUUGCACAUGUCCCUCAUUUCUCCUUUCCUUCCCCCAGGCUUUGGCUGAGCAGUGCAAGAUGGAUCACCAAUAAAAUGGUAUUUUAGGAAAGAAUAUGAGAAGCAAACUCACUGGAUAAAGAGAGCAGAUUCUGCCUCCUGACGAGGCCAAUAUGGAACUGGUUUCUUUCUAGCAGAUGUCCUGCUGGAGUCUGCUGGUGUGAUUCCUGAUGUUCAGGAGCAGCUCUGCCAAAUCCAAUGGAAAUGUUUGCAAAUUAAUGCACAACUCAAUGACAGUAAACACGCCCCUGUCUGGCCUCGUGUAAAUAAAAAUCAGCCUGCAGACUGUAAGUUUCCUCCACUGACUUUGGUUCAGCUCUCACCGGACCAACAAGCUCUGAGAACU
rnacentral:lncRNA from 1 species